GACGAACGCUGGCGGCGUGCCUAAUACAUGCAAGUAGAACGCUGAAGGAGGAGCUUGCUUCUCUGGAUGAGUUGCGAACGGGUGAGUAACGCGUAGGUAACCUGCCUGGUAGCGGGGGAUAACUAUUGGAAACGAUAGCUAAUACCGCAUAACAGUAGAUAUCGCAUGAUAUCUACUUGAAAGGUGCAAUUGCAUCACUACCAGAUGGACCUGCGUUGUAUUAGCUAGUUGGUGAGGUAACGGCUCACCAAGGCGACGAUACAUAGCCGACCUGAGAGGGUGAUCGGCCACACUGGGACUGAGACACGGCCCAGACUCCUACGGGAGGCAGCAGUAGGGAAUCUUCGGCAAUGGACGGAAGUCUGACCGAGCAACGCCGCGUGAGUGAAGAAGGUUGUCGGAUCGUAAAGCUCUGUUGUAAGGGAAGAACGAGUGUGAGAGUGGAAAGUUCACACUGUGACGGUAUCUUACCAGAAAGGGACGGCUAACUACGUG
rnacentral:rRNA from 1 species